rnacentral:lncRNA from 1 species
CAAAAAGUAAACAUUUAACAGAUUUAUUUAUUUUUUUUACUUUCUAGGGAUAUACACGAAGAUAAAACAGUCCCUACCAUCAAGGAGCUCAAAUUCUAAUGGGGAAGAUAACAUAAAAGGGAACACAUGAAAUGAUUGACAACAGCUGCUAGAAUGGACAGAGAGCCUGCAGGUGGGAAGACCGUGAACAUAAAUCUGGUCUCAGAUACUUCCUAGCUGUGUGACCUUGGACAACUCACUUAGCUGCUGUCUGCCUGAAUUUCCUCAACUUGAAAAAUGAAGAUCAUAAUAACAUCUGCCUUAUAGUAAUGUUGUGAAGAUCUAAAGUGAUAAUAUUUGUAGAGCAUUUAGCACAUUCAUUAGCACAUAGUAGGUACUUAAUAAAUGCUUAUUCUUUUUCUCA